rnacentral:rRNA from 1 species
AUACGUAGGGGGCGAGCGUUGUCCGGAAUGAUUGGGCGUAAAGGGCGCGUAGGCGGCUUUGCAAGUCCGAAGUGGAAGUCCAUUUUUCAAGGAUGGAAGUGCUACAGAAACUGCGGAGCUUGAGUGCAGGAGAGGUUAUCGGAAUUCCCGGAGUAGCGGUGAAAUGCGUAGAGAUCGGGAGGAACACCAGUGGCGAAGGCGGGUAACUGGACUGCAACUGACGCUGAGGCGCGAAAGUGUGGGGAGCAAACAGGAUUAGAUACCCUGGUAGUCCACACUGUAAACGAUGAAUGCUAGGUGUAGGAGGUAUCGACCCCUUCUGUGCCGCAGUAAACACAGUAAGCAUUCCGCCUGGGGAGUACGGUCGCAAGAUUAAAACUCAAAUGAAUUGGCGGGG